rnacentral:lncRNA from 1 species
GCCAGGGAUUCUACAGGGGGCCAGGGAACCUGCAGGGGGCCAGGGAUCCUGCAGGGGGCCAGGGAUUCUACAGGGGGCCAGGGAUUCUGCAGGGGGCCAGGGAUUCUUCCCCUGAGAGUGUUGAACUGGUUUAAUAGAACAGUGUUGAACUGGUUUAAUAGAACAGUGUUGAACUGGUUUAAUAGAACAGUGUUGUACUGGUUUAAUAGAACAGUGUUGAACUGGUUUAAUAGAACAGUGUUGAACUGGUUUAAUAGAACAGUGUUGAACUGUUACAUGGAACAGGACCCAGUGGGUCUGCAGGUGGAGUUUCAUAGGGAUGAAUGGAUCUGAUAGAUGGAACAGGACCCAGUGGGUCUGCAGGUGGAGUUUCAUAGGGAUGAAUGGUUCUGAUAGAUGGAACAGGACCCAGUGGGUCUGCAGGUGGAGUUUCAUAGGGAUGAAGGGUACUGUUAGAUGGAACAGGACCCAGUGGGUCUGCAGGUGGAGUUCCAUAGGGAUGAAUGGUUCUGAUAGAUGGAACAGGACCCAGUGGGUCUGCAGGUGGAGUUUCAUAGGGAUGAAUGGUGCUGAUAGAUGGAACAGGACCCAGUGGGUCUGCAGGUGGAGUUUCAUAGAGAUUAAUGGUUCUGAUAGAUGGAACAGGACCCAGUGGGUCUGCAGGUGGAGUUUCAUAUGGAUGAAUGGUUCUGAUAGAUGGAACAGGACCCAGUGGGUCUGCAGGUGGAGUUUACAUUUACAUUUAAGUCAAAGUUUCAUAGGGAUGAAUGGUUCUGAUAGAUGGAACAGGACCCAGUGGGUCUGCAGGUGGAGUUUCAUAGAGAUGAAUGGUUCUGUUAGAUGGAAUAGGACCCAGUGGGUCUGCAGGUGGAGUUUAAUAGGGAUGAAUGGCUCGGUUCUGGUCAGUACAUGACUGUCCAAGAAGGAAAGUUUUCAUUGGUGCUGCUGUAAUAGUGUGACCAAUCACCAUCACUUCCCAGACAGGAGUUUUACAGACAGACAGACAGACAGACAGACAGACAGACAGACAGACAGACAGAGGGUCUUGUCAGUGGACAGACAGUCUCUCCAGAUGGUCAGUGGACAGACAGUCUCUCCAGAUGGUCAGUGGACAGACAAUCUCUCCAAAUGGUCAGUGGACAGACAGUCUCUCCAAAUGGUCAGUGGACAGACAGUCUCUCCAAAUGGUCAGUGGACAGACAGUCUCUCCAGAUGGUCAGUGCGGUAGAUCAGUGAUUUGGCUCUGAGAUUGACCACUGUGAUGGUGAUGGCACAGGAAGGAAAACACUAACGGCAGCGUGUGAUUUGUUUGGCGUGCUGGCCACUGGCGAGGUGGUAAAGUCCUCCUGUUGAUUGUGUGGUGUGGCUUGAUAAGGCUGCCAUGGCGAUGGUGUUUGUGAGAGGGGAAAACACAGUAACGUGUAACACACACACACACACACACACACACACACACACACACACACACACACACACACCUCACCCAGAGAGCAGCUGCACUUGGCAAAGGGAAUAUUUCAAUCCAUUUCUAGUAUGUCUAGUUCCUCUCCUCCCUGACAGAAUGACAUUUAGUUCCUCUGUAAUGUCUGCCGCUGUCUGAGACAGUGUUGUUCUGUCCGUCUCUGUAAUGUCUGCCGCUGUCUGAGACAGAGCUUCCUUCACUGUUUCCAUUGUUUCCUGUGAUAUAAAGGAAGUCGCCAAGACAUCUUUAUUCAUUUAAUCUCCAUUCCAAGACACCCCAAUUCAUUUAUUCUCCAUUCCAAGACACCCCAAUUCAUUUAUUCUCCGUUCCAAGACACCCCAAUUCAUUUAAUCUCCGUUCCAAGACACCCCAAUUCAUUUAAUCUCCGUUCCAGGCGUCAGGUUGGGGAGGUAGGAAACACAUGCGUGUAGCGUGAUAAGGCUGAUGGUGCUUGUGACAGGAGAAAAACACAGUAACGUGUACACGUGUACACACACACACACACACGUUUUGACGCGACCCUGAUGUAAAUGUUGCGAUGUGAAAACCCUGCGGCUCGAUGACAGAUUAAGU